rnacentral:rRNA from 1 species
CCCUUAGAUGUUCUGGGCCGCACGCGCGCUACACUGACGAAGUCAGCGAGCAUCUCCUACGCCGAAAGGUGCGGGGAAUCUUGUGAAACUUUGUCGUGCUGGGGAUUGAUUUUUGAAAUUCUUGAUCAUCAACGAGGAAUUCCUAGUAAGCGCAAGUCAGCAGCUUGCGUUGAUUACGUCCCUGCCCUUUGUACACACCGCCCGUCGCUACUACCGAUUGAAUGGUUUAGUGAGAUUUUUGGACUGGAACUCUCUUGUUCAGCAAUGAACGAGAGGGACUCUGGGAAGCUAUUCGAACUGUAUCAUUUAGAGGAAGUAAAAGUCGUAACA